rnacentral:rRNA from 1 species
AUCUAUGGCCACACCACCCUGAACACUCUCGAUCUCGUCUGAUCUUGGAAGCUAAGCAGGCUCAGGCCUGGUUAGCACUUGGAUGGGAGAAGACACAGUUGUGUUUC